rnacentral:rRNA from 1 species
UACAGAGGGUGCAAGCGUUGUUCGGAAUUAUUGGGCGUAAAGCGCGUGUAGGCGGCUUUGCAAGUCGGGUGUGAAAGCCCUUGGCUUAACUGAGGAAGUGCAUCCGAAACUGGCAGGCUAGAGUACUAAAGAGGGUCGCGGAAUUCCCGGUGUAGAGGUGAAAUUCGUAGAUAUCGGGAGGAACACCGGUGGCGAAGGCGGCGACCUGGGUAGAUACUGACGCUGAGGUGCGAAAGCGUGGGGAGCAAACAGG